GUACACUGUGGUAUCUACCAGAGACAUGAAAAAAUAAUGAUACAUGGAAAUGAUUAUUUUUACUACUCCCAAGUGCUCAUCUGGACUUCCAACAGCACUGGCUCCCUGCAGGAAAGCCACAAGUGCCUCACUGAAGGGUUACUCUGAAAAGUUAGCAGGGGACUGUCCUCAGAGGUAGCAAAAUGCAGUAGGACCUGCCUGGAGCAGCUGAGCUACUGAAGAUGCCCGCACAAGGGUCAGGAGUCCUGUCUCAAGAGCCUGGUAGAAAAACCAGCCCUGACCCGGGGUUCAAGAGUGGUUCUCCUGUGAAAUGGCUCUCCAUGGAGAGGGUGAGGUGUUCCAGACCCUACAACUCCAGCAACAACAUGGAAGUGAUCUCUCACUCACCCAGCAAGCUGACAUUUACAAGCUUCAAAAAAUCCCAAGAAACCCCCCCAAAAAAAAGGAUAAUGGAGCACAAUAUUGGCAAGCACAGCAGCUGGACCUGUCCACUUAGGAGAGCAAAGGAGAGAAACUGGAAGGGUAAAGCCUGUAAUCACUGCUGCAAGAGAUCUGAGAAUCCAGGAUGGCUCUUCACCAGGUCACUGGUUGUCAGAGAGGAGAGACCUUUCUGGCUGUAGCCCCUGUUCUCCAUGAACUUGCUCCUGAGCAAGAUGGAGCUCACAUUUUAACAGCAAGCAAGAGCUGUAAGGCACCAUCAAAGAUCCCAAAUUCACAUCUGCUGCAAUGAAUGGCAGCAGUUAUGGGAAGACUGUGCUUGAAGCUGAGUGAGACUCACAGCUAAGACUCACUGGAGGAAAAGAAACAGCCAUUUUUCACCAAGUGCUCUGGGUGAAAAAGCACUGCAGAUGCAAAUGAAGGAAGAAAUAAUCAAAAUGCACAGCAUGGUUCCAAUUCUUGAAUGAAAACCAAGCUGGCAGGCUUAAAGUCACAAGCUAUAUUUAUUACUUGAGUUCUUGGAUAUUGUAGUUCAAUAGAUUCUCUUACUUGGCUUCACAACAGAGGAGCUUUGUAAAGAAAUUAAAGCCUCAACUCAACCACACACAUUAGGAAGACUGCAGUUUAUUUUCAGUGAUUCAGGGGGUCUGUACAAGGCUGAUAAAGAAGCUGUGCUCCUGGCUGCAAGGCUUUUCUCCAAAGAAAACAGGACAGGAACCUCUUGCCAGCAUUUCACCAAGCAAACAGCUGUUUUACACAAAUGCUCAAACUGAAGAUAACCCAACACCACACAUACCUUGACCCUCUCCAUCUGUGUGCUGAAGGGGUAGAGCAGCUCAAAGAGAAUCAGUCCCAGAGAGAAGAUAUCCACCUUGUGUGAAUAGGUGUUGCCACAGAUCUGAGAAAGCAAAGUCAGGGUCAGGGCAAUCAAGGUACUGCAUGCAAUUAUCUACAAAGUAAACAUCACCCCUGCAAGUUCACCUGUGCAAGUCACCAGCCCUGUGCAGAGCUGGAAGCAGCAGCACAGGAACGUUGGUGAACUUCAGCCAUGAGCAGCAGGGAGCAAGGUUCUGAUCCUCAGCUCCUCUGUGCUGCAAAGCAAAAUGUUUCACCUUACUUAAUCUCAUGCACAAGAGUGUGUCCUUCCUCAGUUAAGUGGAAUCUUUUACAGUUACCUUCCUAUACUGCAUUAAAAGCAAGAAAAAUAAA